AGAUCCAGACAACAUGCAGCACAUUCUUCAAUUGACUUCCGGGCAGAAAUUAUACAUAAAUUUUUGACGAGGAUUAUGCUGCAGCUGUCCAAGAGGACAUUUCUACAUUUGUCCUCAACAUCUUUGUGGUUUCCAAAGCCACGGAUGAAAGUCUUGCCAAGUCAACAGGAAUAGCCAUCGAGGGAGCAGAGGUUCUGUUUGGUAUUUCUGAUGUUGCAACUGCUUGUGCUUACCUGAUGGGUCUUACCCCAAACAACUGAAAUAUACCUUUGAGGUAUUCCAGAAGAUCCUUUUGGAGCUGGAGGAUGCAAACCAAAAAAUGUCGUCAAAGGUCCAUGAUCUCAAGUGUCUCGGUGCGUUCACAUCAACCACGAUGUGAUUGUUACGCAGCACAGGAUUGCACGUGAGCUGGGCUAGAACGGUGCAGUGGAGAACCAAGGAUCC
ensembl:lncRNA